GAUGAACGCUGGCGGCGUGCCUAAUACAUGCAAGUCGAGCGAACGGACGAGAAGCUUGCUUCUCUGAUGUUAGCGGCGGACGGGUGAGUAACACGUGGAUAACCUACCUAUAAGACUGGGAUAACUUCGGGAAACCGGAGCUAAUACCGGAUAAUAUUUUGAACCGCAUGGUUCAAAAGUGAAAGACGGUCUUGCUGUCACUUAUAGAUGGAUCCGCGCUGCAUUAGCUAGUUGGUAAGGUAACGGCUUACCAAGGCAACGAUGCAUAGCCGACCUGAGAGGGUGAUCGGCCACACUGGAACUGAGACACGGUCCAGACUCCUACGGGAGGCAGCAGUAGGGAAUCUUCCGCAAUGGGCGAAAGCCUGACGGAGCAACGCCGCGUGAGUGAUGAAGGUCUUCGGAUCGUAAAACUCUGUUAUUAGGGAAGAACAUAUGUGUAAGUAACUGUGCACAUCUUGACGGUACCUAAUCAGAAAGCCACGGCUAACUACGUGCCAGCAGCCGCGGUAAUACGUAGGUGGCAAGCGUUAUCCGGAAUUAUUGGGCGUAAAGCGCGCGUAGGCGGUUUUUUAAGUCUGAUGUGAAAGCCCACGGCUCAACCGUGGAGGGUCAUUGGAAACUGGAAAACUUGAGUGCAGAAGAGGAAAGUGGAAUUCCAUGUGUAGCGGUGAAAUGCGCAGAGAUAUGGAGGAACACCAGUGGCGAAGGCGACUUUCUGGUCUGUAACUGACGCUGAUGUGCGAAAGCGUGGGGAUCAAACAGGAUUAGAUACCCUGGUAGUCCACGCCGUAAACGAUGAGUGCUAAGUGUUAGGGGGUUUCCGCCCCUUAGUGCUGCAGCUAACGCAUUAAGCACUCCGCCUGGGGAGUACGACCGCAAGGUUGAAACUCAAAGGAAUUGACGGGGACCCGCACAAGCGGUGGAGCAUGUGGUUUAAUUCGAAGCAACGCGAAGAACCUUACCAAAUCUUGACAUCCUUUGACAACUCUAGAGAUAGAGCCUUCCCCUUCGGGGGACAAAGUGACAGGUGGUGCAUGGUCGUCGUCAGCUCGUGUCGUGAGAUGUUGGGUUAAGUCCCGCAACGAGCGCAACCCUUAAGCUUAGUUGCCAUCAUUAAGUUGGGCACUCUAAGUUGGCUGCCGGUGACAAACCGGAGGAAGGUGGGGAUGACGUCAAAUCGUCAUGCCCCUUAUGAUUUGGGCUACACACGUGCUACAAUGGACAAUACAAAGGGCAGCGAGACCGCGAGGUCAAGCAAAUCCCAUAAAGUUGUUCUCAGUUCGGAUUGUAGUCUGCAACUCGACUACAUGAAGCUGGAAUCGCUAGUAAUCGUAGAUCAGCAUGCUACGGUGAAUACGUUCCCGGGUCU
rnacentral:rRNA from 1 species